GAUGAACGCUGGCGGCGUGCUUAACACAUGCAAGUCGAACGAUGAAGCCCAGCUUGCUGGGUGGAUUAGUGGCGAACGGGUGAGUAACACGUGAGUAGCCUGCCCUUGACUCUGGGAUAAGCCUGGGAAACUGGGUCUAAUACUGGAUAUGACUUCUCAUCGCAUGGUGGGGGGUGGAAAGAUUUAUUGGUCUUGGAUGGACUCGCGGCCUAUCAGCUUGUUGGUGAGGUAAUGGCUCACCAAGGCGACGACGGGUAGCCGGCCUGAGAGGGUGACCGGCCACACUGGGACUGAGACACGGCCCAGACUCCUACGGGAGGCAGCAGUGGGGAAUAUUGCACAAUGGGCGCAAGCCUGAUGCAGCGACGCCGCGUGAGGGAUGACGGCCUUCGGGUUGUAAACCUCUUUCAGUAGGGAAGAAGCGAGAGUGACGGUACCUGCAGAAGAAGCGCCGGCUAACUACGUG
rnacentral:rRNA from 1 species